rnacentral:rRNA from 1 species
AUACGGAGGGGGCUAGCGUUGUUCGGAUUUACUGGGCGUAAAGGGCGCGUAGGCGGCCCACAAAGUCAGACGUGAAAGCCCCGGGCUCAACCUGGGAACUGCGCUUGAAACGUGUGGGCUAGAGUCCGGGAGAGGAUGGCGGAAUUCCCAGUGUAGAGGUGAAAUUCGUAGAUAUUGGGAAGAACACCGGUGGCGAAGGCGGCCAUCUGGACCGGUACUGACGCUAAGGCGCGAAAGCGUGGGGAGCAAACAGGAUUAGAAACCCCGGUAGUCC